rnacentral:rRNA from 1 species
GAUUAACGCUGGCGGCGUGCCUAACACAUGCAAGUCGAACGAUGAAACUUUUUUUAUUUCUUCGGAAUGAUUAAAAGUGGCUUAGUGGCGGACGGGUGAGUAACGCGUGAGUAACCUGCCUUAGAGAAGGGGCUAGCCUUUGGACACGAUGAAUAAUACUCUAUGAAACCAUAACCUCGCAUGAGGAAUUGGUCAAAGAUUUAUCGCUCUAAGAUGGACUUGCGUCUGAUUAGUUAGUUGGUGGGGUAACGGCCCACCAAGACAGCGAUCAGUAGCCGGCUUGAGAGAGUGUACGGCCACAUUGGGACUGAGACACGGCCCAGACUCCUACGAGAGGCAGCAGUGGGGAAUUUUGCACAAUGGGGGAAACCCUGAUGCAGCGACGCCGCGUGAUUUAGAAGGCCUUCGGGUUGUAAAAAUCUUUUCUAUGGGAAGAAAAUGACAGUACCAUAGGAAUAAGGACCGGCUAAUUACGUG